AUGUUUUUUGCAGGAACAGCAGGUUUUCACUUCUCCUCAGAAGAGAGGCAAUAUUUUAUAAAAUAGUUGAUCCAUACAGGGCAAAAAUGCCUUUUUUUUUU